rnacentral:rRNA from 1 species
UAGUCCUAGCCGUAAACGAUGUCCACUAGGUGUUGGGGGUCCUACCCCCUCAGUGCCGCAGCUAACGCAUUAAGUGGACUACCUGGGGAGUACGCUCGCAAGGGUGAAACUCAAAGGAAUUGACGGGGCCCGCACAAGCGGUGGAGCAUGUGGUUUAAUUCGAAGCAACGCGCAGAACCUUACCCAGACUUGACAUCUUUAGAAGCCUUUGGAAACUUAGGUGUGCCGUCUCACGACGGAACUUUAUGACAGGUGCUGCAUGGCUGUCGUCAGCUCGUGCUGUGAGGUGUUCGGUUAAGUCCGGCAACGAGCGCAACCCCUAUCGUUAGUUACCAGCAUUUAGUUGGGGACUCUAGCGAGACUGCCGGUGAUAAACCGGAGGAAGGUGGGGACGACGUCAAGUCCUCAUGGCCCUUAUGUCUGGGGGCUACACACGUGCUACAAUGACAUCUACAAAGGGGCAGCGAAGCGGCGACGUGGGAGC